AACGUAGGACACAAGCGUUAUCCGGAGUUACUGGGCGUAAAGGGCGCGUAGGCGGCCGAUCAAGUCGGGGGUGAAAGCCUGUGGCUCAACCACAGAAUUGCCUUCGAUACUGUUUGGCUUGAGACCGGAAGAGGUUAGUGGAACUGCGAGUGUAGAGGUGAAAUUCGUAGAUAUUCGCAAGAACACCAGUGGCGAAGGCGGCUCACUGGCCCGGUACUGACGCUGAGACGCGAAAGCGUGGGGAGCGAACAGG
rnacentral:rRNA from 1 species